GAAAAGUCAAGUAACUAAGGCAUGAGGGCGCGCGUGUGAAGAAGAGAGUGACGCGUGAUCCUUCACACUCGUUUCGGUUUGUGGAGAGAAGCGUAGGCUAGCAUGGUGGUGGUGGCGAUGGUAACGGCAACAGCUGGCGGUGGCGAUGGUGACAGCAGCAGCAGCACUAGCGUUAAUGAUGGUAGUGGUUGGCGCGGUGGUGGUGGUCGUAAGCUUCAUUAUCAUUGAUUUAGUGGUUUCAAAUUCUUAAUUUUAUUCUCAUGGAUCUAUGUAUCUAGUAAUCCUCAGAUUUACCCUUAGUGAGAAAGUGAAGAUUAUUGGACACAAUCCGGCAAAUAUAUUGUUAGUGGUGGUGAACAGAUUUGACCUUCUGGUGAGAGUUUCCGGUAAAACUAAACCAAAGCAGAAACCAUGAACGUGAAAUUGAGAGGCUUGUGCAAUUUUUGUUUUUGUCUGAGUGUGAAAUUGAGUUUUGGUGUGCAUUUGGACUCUGGAGAAUGGAGAUAGAAAUGGAGAUGUAUUUGUGUUGUGUAUGCAUCUGGAAAGAGAAAAGGGUAAAAGAGUCUGAUUUACCGUUUAUACACACAAUAUCACUUUCC
rnacentral:lncRNA from 1 species